CACACUAUGUCCAGGGUAUCUCUGAGUACAAUGCAUGAUCGGUUUUGACUGUUGUACAUAUUGAUACCUAUGAACGGAAUUGCGCAACGUUAAGUGUUAUCAUAUAGAACUUAAACCAGAGUGUGAAGAUUUCGUCGCCGUAUACGUUGGUUUAAAAUAGCCAUUUCGUCAUUUCAAUUUACAUAUGACUAAAGGAGAAACCGAGCCCUUCGCUCGAAAAUUUAUUAUUAAACCUGACUAAGCUUCCAGAAAUAACUACCAACUUCAAUGCUAGUUUAAAUUUGUCAGGUAUACGCUCUUAGCUGCUGCACAAGUUGACCAUUCCGCGGAAUACAAUCUUAGAAAGCGAGCGUUAAACAUUAUUAUGAACACAUUCUUGAAGUUUGUCUGCGCGUUUCAUUUGUUGAUAUUGAAAGCAGAAGCCGCUGGAAGGGGCCAACACAGAAACAUGGCAGCUUUCAGAGGAUCUGGUUCCGGUUAUAUUUCUUGCUGCUUUGUGGACGUGUUCUGCUACGUAGGCUGUUUCGCCGGAAGUGACUACCGACAGGCUUUUCCGUCGGAUGGCGACGGCUACUACGCGUCAGUCCGGCAAAGCGACGUCACACGACACAGAUCCCGACACCGACACAGUCUGACGGACUUCCGGUCAAAACGCGCUGCAGACGAAAGUGACAUUUGGAAACUCAUACUAAGAUCAAGCUUACGAAGGUCUCGAGACAAAUCAACGACUUGAAUGACUGAUCUUAAUCCCUAAAUAUUACGUUGGGCGCUACCCCAAUCACAACUGAACUUGAAUUCGGACACGAAGCAUCCGAAAACCCGUUGUGAUAACUGAGAUGAAUCGUUGUUACGCAUUCUCAGUCGAACCUCAAUCGAUCAUCUGAAAGUCAGCUUCGUAACAGACAAAGCUUUUUCAACAGGCGCACACUUGUCUAAAGACGUUAAUUGUCUUGAAACUGGACAAUAAGCAUUUGUAAACGUCUGCGCCCCGUUUGCAUGAAAUUCAACUUCUGCAGUGACUUAUGACACGUGUGCAAUAGAAUCUCAGUCAAGCUACAGCCCUGUUUUUCCAGCAGUUAUUGGAAUCGUAGAUUUCGAGAAUCGCAAUUAACACUAACAGGCUUUUCUUUUUAAAUGUCUAUGAUAGUUUUUUUUUAGUCCGUUCUGAUAUUCUCCAAAUCUGAUCGUUUUAAACCUAUCGAUUUACCAAUGAAAAUACGUGUUCUUUAUUAUUGUAAAAUUAUAAAAAUACACAUGCAAUGAUACACGACAAAAAUAAAUACUGUAAUGCUCAACGUUUUUGGAGAUUCCAACUUUUCGGAAACCCUCAUUUAGGCAAAGUAAUUAUUUUUAGCAAUCCUAUAUUUUGCGACAUCUUGAUUUUCGCCUUAAAUAAAUUACUGCGUUAUUUAAUAAUAACAUUUUAUGAAAAUUUGUUCUUUUCGAGAAUCGAAGCAGCAAUUCGAUACUUAUUUAACAUAUUGAAUAUAUCAUAUUUUUAUAUAUGUAAAUUUCUGGACAUACUCAAACACAUCACAAACACAAUUAUUUUCAAGUGUCCGAAAACUUAAAGAAAAUCCGGUAAUGUUGAAUGUUUAACAUUUUCGUACAUUUGUUUCUAGUGUAAAGGAGACAACUCUCAUAUGGUUAUAUUGCAAGCUUGUGGUGCGCAUUUACCUCCCUUGCUUAUUGCAUCCCAUCCGCGCGACCACAGCAGAUGUUUUAUUUCGGACUUUAUUUUCUCUUACAUGUUUUCCUAAUCUGUGAUAAACAUGAUGUUUUCCUAAUAUGUGACAAAUAUUAUCUACAUUUUCGCAAAUGUUAAAGUUUACUUUCGUAUUUAAGUCAAGUAUUUUUCCAUCCACAGUAAGUUUUUAAUGUUCCUAAAAAUGUCAAAUCUUCAAACAUACAUCCGAGUAAUUUUUCUGUGUAUAAAAAUGCAGGCAGUACACGGUGACGUGUUUUUUUGUGGUGGCAGGAAUUAUUAGAAUAUCAAGUAUGUGCUGGAAAGGAAGAGCAGAUUUUUUGUGUGACCAAACAUCAUGUAGCACACGAAUGAGUCAGGGUAUUUGUAACAUUAAUUAAUGUAAAUGCAGACUUGUGACUUGUUAUAUGUUUUAUAUAUUGUAGUUACUAUUUAUUUGAAAUGUCUCAUCUGUUAUUUAUUUGUUUGUUUAUAUGCGACGGCUGAAUCCAGCAAAUAAACUAACUAUGAGCUGUGAAUGUAUAGAUCUCUACUGUUGUCGGUCGUUUCAGUACAAUAAAACACAUAUGCGUAAUGCACGUGCGUAAAAGGACGUCACAAAAUAGCCUGUGCAAUCCACAGUAGCUAAUUAAAUAUGUCAGAUUCCGCUUUUAUAGUAGUUUUCGUUAAAAGAAUAUCUCUUAUUAGAGAAAAUCCAGUUUAAACCGAAAGUGAUAUCCCUUAUUAGCAUGUGCGGACUACAAGGCUACUCUGGGGCGACACUUUACGCACAUUCGUUAAGUCCUGUUUUUCCAGAACGAGGCUCGUUUGUCUGCUACAGUUUUCGUUGUUGUUUUUUGUUCAAUAAAACGUUCAUAAAAGCUAGAA